rnacentral:rRNA from 1 species
UACGAGUGCUCCAAGCGUUAUCCGGAAUCAUUGGGCGUAAAGGGUGUGUAGGUGGUAAUGUUAGUCCUGUGUUAAAUUCUUCGGCUCAACCGGGGGCAUGCAUGGGAAACGGCAUUACUUGAGGAUGCGAGAGGCACAUGGAACUCAUGGAGUAGGGGUGAAAUCCGUUGAUAUCAUGGGGAACACCGAAAGCAAAGGCAAUGUGCUGGCGCACUCCUGACACUGAAACACGAAAGCGUAGGUAGCGAAUGGG